CUACGGGCUGCUGCAGUGAGGAAUAUUGCACAAUGGGGGGAACCCUGAUGCAGCAACGCCGCGUGGAGGAUGACGCAUUUCGGUGUGUAAACUCCUUUUAUAUGUCAAGAAAAUGACGGUAGCAUAUGAAUAAGCACCGGCUAACUCCGUGCCAGCAGCCGCGGUAAUACGGAGGGUGCAAGCGUUACUCGGAAUCACUGGGCGUAAAGGACGCGUAGGCGGGUUGGAAAGUCAGGUGUGAAAUCCUAGAACUUAACUGUAGAACUGCACUUGAAACUUCUAAUCUAGAGUAUGGGAGGGGGAGAUGGAAUUAGUGGUGUAGGGGUAAAAUCCGUAGAUAUCACUAGGAAUACCUAAAGCGAAGGCGAUCUCCUGGAACAUUACUGACGCUAAGGCGUGAAAGCGUGGGGAGCAAACAGGAUUAGAUACCCCCGUAGUC
rnacentral:rRNA from 1 species